UACGAAGGGGGCUAGCGUUGUUCGGAAUUACUGGGCGUAAAGAGCUCGUAGGCGGCCUGUCGCGUUGUUCGUGAAAAUUUACCGCUCAACGGUGAACUUGCGGGCGAUACGGGCAGGCUAGAGUACUGCAGGGGAGACUGGAAUUCCUGGUGUAGCGGUGAAAUGCGCAGAUAUCGGGAGGAACACCUAUGGCGAAGGCAGCUCGCUGGGACGUUACUGACGCUGAGACGCGAAAGCGUGGGGAGCAAACAGG
rnacentral:rRNA from 1 species